CAAAUUUGAAAUCUGGUACUUUCAGUGCCCGAGUUGUAAUUUGUAGAAUUUGUCUUUGAUUAGGUCCUUGUCUAUGUUCCUUGGAACAGGACGUCAUAGAGGGUGAGAAUCCCGUUUGGCGAGGAUACCUUUUCUCUGUAAGACUUUUUCGAAGAGUCGAGUUGUUUGGGAAUGCAGCUCAAAGUGGGUGGUAAAUUCCAUCUAAAGCUAAAUAUUGGCGAGAGACCGAUAGCGAACAAGUACAGUGAUGGAAAGAUGAAAAGAACUUUGAAAAGAGAGUGAAAAAGUACGUGAAAUUGUUGAAAGGGAAGGGCAUUUGAUCAGACAUGGUGUUUUUUGCAUGCACUCGCCUCUCGUGGGCUUGGGCCUCUCAAAAAUUUCACUGGGCCAACAUCAGUUCUGGCAGCAGGAUAAAUCAUUAAGAAUGUAGCUACCUCGGUAGUGUUAUAGCUUAUUGGAAUACUGCUAGCUGGGAUUGAGGACUGCGCUUCGGCAAGGAUGUUGGCAUAAUGGUUAAAUGCCGC
rnacentral:rRNA from 1 species